rnacentral:rRNA from 1 species
AGAGUUUGAUCCUGGCUCAGAUUGAACGCUGGCGGCAUGCUUUACACAUGCAAGUCGGACGGCAGCACAGGGAAGCUUGCUUCUCGGGUGGCGAGUGGCGAACGGGUGAGUAACAUAUCGGAACGUACCGGGUAGCGGGGGAUAACUGAUCGAAAGAUCAGCUAAUACCGCAUACGUCUUGAGAGGGAAAGCAGGGGACCUUCGGGCCUUGCGCUAUCCGAGCGGCCGAUAUCUGAUUAGCUGGUUGGCGGGGUAAAGGCCCACCAAGGCGACGAUCAGUAGCGGGUCUGAGAGGAUGAUCCGCCACACUGGGACUGAGACACGGCCCAGACUCCUACGGGAGGCAGCAGUGGGGAAUUUUGGACAAUGGGCGCAAGCCUGAUCCAGCCAUGCCGCGUGUCUGAAGAAGGCCUUCGGGUUGUAAAGGACUUUUGUCAGGGAAGAAAAGGCCGUUGCCAAUAUCGGCGGCCGAUGACGGUACCUGAAGAAUAAGCACCGGCUAACUACGUGCCAGCAGCCGCGGUAAUACGUAGGGUGCGAGCGUUAAUCGGAAUUACUGGGCGUAAAGCGGGCGCAGACGGUUACUUAAGCAGGAUGUGAAAUCCCCGGGCUCAACCCGGGAACUGCGUUCUGAACUGGGUGACUCGAGUGUGUCAGAGGGAGGUGGAAUUCCACGUGUAGCAGUGAAAUGCGUAGAGAUGUGGAGGAAUACCGAUGGCGAAGGCAGCCUCCUGGGAUAACACUGACGUUCAUGUCCGAAAGCGUGGGUAGCAAACAGGAUUAGAUACCCUGGUAGUCCACGCCCUAAACGAUGUCAAUUAGCUGUUGGGCAACUUGAUUGCUUGGUAGCGUAGCUAACGCGUGAAAUUGACCGCCUGGGGAGUACGGUCGCAAGAUUAAAACUCAAAGGAAUUGACGGGGACCCGCACAAGCGGUGGAUGAUGUGGAUUAAUUCGAUGCAACGCGAAGAACCUUACCUGGUUUUGACAUGUGCGGAAUCCUCCGGAGACGGAGGAGUGCCUUCGGGAGCCGUAACACAGGUGCUGCAUGGCUGUCGUCAGCUCGUGUCGUGAGAUGUUGGGUUAAGUCCCGCAACGAGCGCAACCCUUGUCAUUAGUUGCCAUCAUUCGGUUGGGCACUCUAAUGAGACUGCCGGUGACAAGCCGGAGGAAGGUGGGGAUGACGUCAAGUCCUCAUGGCCCUUAUGACCAGGGCUUCACACGUCAUACAAUGGUCGGUACAGAGGGUAGCCAAGCCGCGAGGCGGAGCCAAUCUCACAAAACCGAUCGUAGUCCGGAUUGCACUCUGCAACUCGAGUGCAUGAAGUCGGAAUCGCUAGUAAUCGCAGGUCAGCAUACUGCGGUGAAUACGUUCCCGGGUCUUGUACACACCGCCCGUCACACCAUGGGAGUNCCCUGCCGUCAAAAAGAAAAUCAUGCCGGACGGUAUUGUUUAUGCCGAUAGCCCGGGCAGCCGCGGCAAGUCGGACGCGGGCGGUUUUACCCGUUGCCGCAUCAACCGUUCCA